rnacentral:lncRNA from 1 species
GUUCUGAUGCUACUGACAAUCAAGCUAUAAGAAGAGCAUUGAUUUAGCCAGCCAUAGUUCACUUGAAACUUCUGAGAAUUUCAGGUCCUAGGUCAGCCCUCUAGGGUCAAGCAACUCCUUCCUCCACAUGGCAGUCCAUUAAAUACUUGAGGAAAGUAUGUGGUCCCUUCUCUUCUUCAGCCUAAAUGUCCCCAGGUGCCUGAACAUGGAUUGGUGUAGCAAGAGAGCUAAAAAUCUCACCAUCAGAAAAUGUGGAUUGGAAUUCCAGUACAGAACAAGCUGGGAAUUCGGACACACAGAAAGAUUUCUGGACCUGAUUUUUUUUACUCAGAAGGAAAGAAUACAAGGGGAUCCAUCCCAAGGUAUAUAAGCAAAAGCAAAAUAAGUUUCUUGGGCAUUUAUUGAGUGCCUACUGUGUGCAGGACACUAUACUACACCCAUCAGUACAGAAAACUAGAGGAAACCUCAGGGAUCCUAUACGGGUGAGUGUGUGUGUUUUGUAUGCAAAAAUUAAAUCCCUCUCCCAGGUAACAGUCCUUCAAAUACAGGAACACAGUUAAGCACUGCAUUAAAGGACAUUAUAUAAACAGUUUCAUAACCUAAGAAAUCUGAGCAGUACUAGUAACUGGUUAUGUAAAA